rnacentral:lncRNA from 1 species
GAAAAAGGGACACUGUCAUCCUUUAAAGGAAGCGCCUUGAUGACAUUGAAAUCGACCCUAAUGGUAAAAGUAUAACUGAAUUGUUUAUUUGAGUCUGUGUUGUAUUUGUUUGCAAGUCUAUAAUCUGCCACAAUUGUAAAAAUUUUUUGAUGGAUAGGUAGUUGUUUUUUUUUUUUUUUUUUUUUUGAGAGCAACUUGUAGGCACUAAGACAAUAAGUCUAUAAUACUGUACCACAAUUAGUUAAAUUUUUUAGUAUGGAGUAGUAGUAGUUGUUUUUUUUUUUUUUUUUUGUUAAGUAGCAACUUGAGGCACAAGACAAUGCCAUGUCAAGUGAUGAGGAGGAUGCAGACGAAGAGAGCUGCAGUGACUUCCCUCAGACAACAGCACCAGCGGACACUGAUCAACAAUCUGUUUCACUGAAAGAUCAAGGUUCAUCAAUCCCUUCAAAAAGAAAAUGGGAGGACUCUGAGGUAAAAGCAGUUGAAAAACAUAUGAUGAAGUUCAUAAAGACCUGCAAAGUUCCUGGUAAGCAAGACUGUGAGAGACCUGCAAAGUUCCUGGUAAGCAAGACUGUGAGAGAUGCAUUGAAGCAGAGUCAGAAGCCUUAAAGGAACGAACAUGGACUGGUGUGAAAAAUUAUGUGCGGAACAGGAUCACAACUUUAAAAAAAGAGGUGGAUUUUAGAGGCUACAUUGCCUUUUACUGUAAAGUGAAGAACAUGUUGAGGAAAAUGUUAAAAGCAUCAAUGCCAUUUACACCAUAUCAAACUUUAAUAACUUCUGUAAGGCCCUGUUAUACCCCGUUUUAACACUUUCCACACCAUGCUCAUCAUUUUAAAGAAAUUAGAUAAAAGUUUAAGUAGAAAGAUGUAUUAAGAGGAAGAAUUUCUUUGAGGAUGGAAGGAAACAAAAUGUUAACGAAGUAAACUAGACAGGAGAAGAGAGCGGAGUAAACGUAAUAUUGAAGUGAUGGAUUAUGAGGAAGGAUGAAGAGUCUAGAAAAAGACACUGCACUGACAAAUUUUUCAUUGUUUUUAUUGUUCAGUUCAUUUCAGCAUGUUGCCUUCGCUAUUUCAGAUGUGCACUUUCACAAUGUGUGAAUAUUGUUUAUUUGAUCAGUAAUCACAAUUGUUUAAUAUAGUCAGAAAAUCAUGUGGAUCAGCAAAAGUAAAGGGAUGGAAAAGAGGGAGGAGUGAAAGUAAAGUAGGUAGUGUUUUUUUUUUUUUUGUUAA